rnacentral:rRNA from 1 species
UAGAAAAAACAAUGCUAAAAUGAGUAAUAAGAGAGCAUUAAACUCCCUCCAAGCACAAGUGUAAAUCAGAACGGACCAACCGCUGAUAAUCAACAGACCCACAUUCCACGAGGGAACAGCAAUAAACCACCUAAACAGGAAAAUCUUGCAAUAAACAACUGUUAACCCAACACAGGAGUGCAACAAGGAAAGACUAAAAGGAGAAGAAGGAACUCGGCAAACACUUACCCCGCCUGUUUACCAAAAACAUCGCCUCUUGCUAACAAGAAUGUAUAAGAGGUCCCGCCUGCCCAGUGACCACUGCGUUUAACGGCCGCGGUAUCAUAACCGUGCGAAGGUAGCGUAAUCACUUGUCUUUUAAAUGAAGACCUGUAUGAAUGGCACUACGAGGGUUCAACUGUCUCCUUCCCCCAGUCAAUGAAAUUGAUCUGCCCGUGCAGAAGCGGACAUAUAGACAUAAGACGAGAAGACCCUGUGGAGCUUCAGGCUAAAAUUCAAACAUGUAAAGAAAUUUUUCACAAACAAAAGAAUACAAAACAAAUUUAAACCUGAUGCACAUGACCAAAUGCCUUCGGUUGGGGCGACCACGGGGAAGAACAAAGCCCCCGAAUGGAAUGAAGUCACCUUCAGAACUAAGAGACACACCUCUAGGCAACAGAAAAUCUGACCAAAUAUGACCCGGGAUAAACAUUUAAACCCGAUCAAUGAACCAAGUUACCCCAGGGAUAACAGCGCAAUCCUUUCCCAGAGUCCCUAUCGACGAAAGGGUUUACGACCUCGAUGUUGGAUCAGGACAUCCUAAUGGUGAAGCCGCUAUUAAGGGUUCGUUUGUUCAACGAUUAACAGUCCUACGUGAUCUGAGUUCAGACCGGAGUAAUCCAGGUCGGUUUCUAUCUAUGACCUUGCUUCUCCCUAGUACGAAAGGACCGGGAAAAGAGGGCCUAUGCUAAAAACAAGCCCUAUCUCAACCUCCUGAAAACAAAUAAAAGAG